CACGAUGUAGAGCCUGUUCGAAUUUCAAGUAAAAGACCAAACAGAGCGAUUUUCCAAAGUUGGCAAAAUUUAACUAAAUCACCACAAAACUGACCUUAGAAACAAAGAGAAACGGAGCAGGAGAAGGCCAGAUUUCUCCUGGCUGCAGAACGGUGGCAAAUAUCCCAGAACUAAGGAAGGCUGCCAAGGGGGAAGAGAAAAAGAAAGGACUUCCCGAAAGCAGCCAGCCCAGGCACACUGCCUUCCCAACAGCUGGACGAGAUGGGAGCAACACACAGACAAGCAAAGACAGGGCAACUCAAGAAGGAAGAGGACCUUGUCCAGGAUGCUGGUGGGAAGACAGGAAGCACUGGAGACUGAAUGUAACUGAAAGAGUUCUAAGGGCAACAGCUUUCCUGGACGGGAAUGUGACAGCAGAGAAACGAUGACAAGAGAGGGUGAAUCUGACAACCAGGAAUUCUUCUUCCCUCUGCCUCACUGCUAAUCCCCGAGCUUUUGCUUCCACCCUUUAUUUUGGUGUUGGAGUUAAACUUAAGACUUUAUGUAUGCUUAGUACACACUACAAAUAUAUAUCCUAGAGUCCACAAGGAUGCAUGGUGGGCCUUUCCUCAGCUAUUCUUCAAAUGAAACACCUUUCUAUGCAACAGCCUAUUCUCAAAAAAAUAAAAAAAAAUUGAGAUUUA